GUGCUCGCUUCGGCAGCACAUAUACUAAAAUUGGAACGAUACAGAGAAGAUUAGCAUGGCCCCUGCGCAAGGAUGAUACAAGGGUAACUUAUACCCUUCUACUUCCU